rnacentral:rRNA from 1 species
AUAAUGGGUCAGCGACUUAUAUUCUGUAGCAAGGUUAACCGAAUAGGGGAGCCGAAGGGAAACCGAGUCUUAACUGGGCGUUAAGUUGCAGGGUAUAGACCCGAAACCCGGUGAUCUAGCCAUGGGCAGGUUGAAGGUUGGGUAACACUAACUGGAGGACCGAACCGACUAAUGUUGAAAAAUUAGCGGAUGACUUGUGGCUGGGGGUGAAAGGCCAAUCAAACCGGGAGAUAGCUGGUUCUCCCCGAAAGCUAUUUAGGUAGCGCCUCGUGAAUUCAUCUCCGGGGGUAGAGCACUGUUUCGGCAAGGGGGUCAUCCCGACUUACCAACCCG